rnacentral:rRNA from 1 species
UGGGUUUGAACUGUACAGGCAAGUCUCAGAGAUGAGAGCCCCUCUUCGGAGGACUGUACAGAGGUGCUGCAUGGCUGUCGUCAGCUCGUGUCGUGAGAUGUUGGGUUAAGUCCCGCAACGAGCGCAACCCUUAUUCACAGUUACUAACGGGUAGAGCCGAGAACUCUGUGGAGACUGCCGGUUGAUAAACCGGAGGAAGGUGGGGAUGACGUCAAGUCCUCAUGGCCUUUAUGUCCAGGG